UCUCUCUUUUCUUCUUGGUAAGGCUGCCUAGAGGUUUGUCCAUUUUGUUUACUCGUUCAAAAAACCACCUCUUGAUUUGAUUGCUUUUCUUUCUAUUGUUUUUUAAAAAUCUCUAUUUUAGUUAUUUCCUCCCUGAUCUUUAUUAUUUCCUUCCUUCUGCUGAUUUUAAGUUUUGUUUGCUCUUUUUUUCUUAAUUCUUUUAGGUAAUAGGUUAGGUUAUUUACUUGAGAUUGUUCUUGGUUUUUGGGAAGGCCUAUAUUGCUAUGAAUGUCUCUCUUUGGACUGAUUUUGCUGCAGCUCAUAGAUUUUCCCAAAUUCUUUUCCA